AGAUAUGUGAAAGGCACUAUAUGAUAGAUAGAUAGAUAGAUAGAUAGAUAGAUAGAUAGAUAGAUAGAUAGAUAGAUAGAUAGAUAGAUAGAUAGAUAGAUAGAUAGAUAUGUGAAAGGCACUAUAUGAUAGAUAGAUAGAUAGAUAGAUAGAUAUAUAGAUAGAUAGAUAGAUAGAUAGAUGUGAAAGGCGCUAUAUAAAAUAGAAUCAAAGGCUUCAGUUUUGGAGUCCAAGCUCUUAAGGAAAUACAACUUGAGCUGCCAAUUUUUCCCUAACAGAAAUUCUGGGAAUCCGCGUGAAAUCGACUCUGAGUCCCCAUCCAACUUGGCCAGUGCUUUCACUUCCACAGCCAAAAGUCAUUUGGGGAAAUGUGGGACCCCCGUUUACAGCCUAGAAGCGCACAGAAAAGGCAGGCCAGUGGUGCUCAGAGCUGCCAGGCUCAAAUGCCAGGCCAGUCCAUCCCUAACUUUGCCCACCAGCCACAUCCCCCAGCCGUCCAUCUUGAGGCGCACUGGUCACUCCGCUGGCUCCCAGGUGGGCUCAGGAAACAGAAGGAUGGAAUUCCGGAUUGUGAACGCUCAGCUCAGCUGGAGUGAAACCCGACAGCCUCCCCGGUGGCGCCUGCCCGCAUCACUGACGUCAUUUUAAAGACUUUAGUGACAAGCAAAAACGUUUCGUGUCGUGUGUACCGUGACGAGUCCCCAUCUGCCUCCGCGUUCUGUGUGUGUGUCGUGUAAGGACACCUCCAAAGCCAUAGCAUUUGUGUCUGUUUCAGUUUGUCGUCUUCACUCCCGUUUUACGUCUUUCUUCAUUUCAGGGGGCUCUCUUUGUUUGUUCUCCCCGUGCGCUCGUCACCGUCUUGAGGCUCUCGAUGUCACCGUGGCCACCUGGCGAUGAAGGAGCCGCGCCGCGUCGCCUCUUUGUGUUUGGACCGUUUCUUACGUUUGGGGACGAAUCCCAGUAAAUGUGCUGUCGUCCUGUUCGGUGUCUCGUCUUAAUGAUGUGGUGGCGAAGGAACUCAACGCCAAUUUGCUGAUCGACCUUCAUGUUCUGCUCACUUUAGAGAAGCACACUCUUAGACUUUUUUUUUAAUAAAAUAAAGAUAUUGUAUCAAGUGAA